AGCUGGGAGCUGCUGUUCCUGAGCUCAUGGACUGCAGGGCAGGACAUCCAAGGCAGAAAACAAAGCUAAGCAAAACAGAAUCUUCUCCAGCUACAGGCAGAAGCCCUGGUUACACAUCUGUCUGGUUCCUUACCAGAAGCGAGCAGCUGACAAUGAACCAGAAGCACAUUUUGGUCUUAGGGGUCUGAUUAGAAGUGAAAAGUAACAUGACCACUGCAAGCAUUCCUGAAUUAGAGGUAAUCAAGAUCCUGAGAAGAUCACAAGAGGUUAAUUUUUUUCUGAGGCAGCUAAUCUUGUGAUAUUGUGUCAUGCUAGUCCUACAGUGACAGAGCUUCCUGCCUGGGAGUUGAAAUGAGGAGACUUCUUGAAAAGGUCUAAUAAUUUUGGGGGCUUUUUUUUUCCCCCCUAAGGUGGAUCUGAGGGGAUGUUAGGAAGGAUGGCCCUGCAGUCACUGAUCUGCUUAUGAAAUGAGAGAACCUGCAGUGAAUUCUCAGCAAAUUUGACCCCACUGACAUAACUCCUGACCAACAAAAGAAGAAGAGUAAUGCACAGAUUUGUCAUCCUUUGCCUCAUGUACCAAAAAUACUAUUUUGUUGAAGCACACCACCUUCUCAGCCUUUAAAGAGCAUGGUGUGGGUGCCUGGUACCAGAUGCUUCACAACAGAAAUGCUCAACAAUGCCACCUCCCUUGCCAAGCCAGAAGGACACUGAAGUUAAGAGAGAGAAAAAGCAUCUCAAGAAAGGUCCAAGCUGAUACUACUGGGGAUAAUGACACACAGGAGCCACACACAACUGAGGAAAGGAAAUGGAAUCUCUGAAAAUUACUAAUAACUAACAGGUUCCUUUUGAGAUUUAUGAGCCAUGGGAAGCAAUGGAUCCUUCAGGCCAAUGGGGCUGGACAAUCCCCUAGCAAGAAGAAAGCCACCCUGUUUUUGUAAAUAGACAUUUUUCUAUCUCAGUCCCUAGUAUGACAUAGUUUUCUCCACAAUUUUCCCCCAUUAUUUCUUCAUUUUCCAGUGGAUGGAGACAAAUUUAUUCUUGCUCUUUUUAGUUGUGUGACUUUCUGCUGCAUGCAGAUACUCUUUUCAUGGAAAAAAAAAAAAAAGGAUUGAUAGCUCUCCACGUGUUUUUGUUUGUUUUUUUCUACUGAAUGGCCUUUCUAUUCACCAGUUCAUCUCUGCAAUCAUAUGAGGAACACGGGAAUUUUUCUGAUAAUUUACUUUUUUUUAAACACAGUUGGGCAAGGCUUCAGUUCUAGCCUAUGAGAACUUCCCAUAAUACUCUCUAAAUUAGCAGUGCUUUCAGGCUGCAGCUCUCAAGGGGAUCACCACAUUUGCAUUGGUGACAGCCAACUACUGCUCCAGGGUCACUCCAGUCACAUUUCUUUUGCAUCAAGUUGACACUCAAGGUCAAGUGACAUGUUGGCUUUGACACUGCAGUGAUAUUUGGCUUCAUCAGCCUCUCAAGGUCAUGCUGCUCUUGGCUGAGCAGCACAGACAGAGGAGCCUGCUUGCCUCCCUCUGCUUGGGUUGUGAAAUGAUGGAGCAGUUACUUCCACAGGAGGAUAAAUGGUGGGCAGAGGAGAAAUGCUGUCUGAGAGCCAAGUUCACUUUUGCCCUGCUAUUGCUGUAGUAGCAUAAGAAAGUGAUUCACACCUUUCUUGCUAAGGUAGAAAAACUGGAUGCCCACCAGACUGUCUAGUUUACCAUUAGGCUGUGCUAGCACCCUCCUGUAUUACAGAUUAUUACCUCCUUUUAGGAUAAAUGCUAUUAAAUACUCAGGACAGUGUUCCCUCACUCCCUCAGAAUAAAGCUGUGUUAUUUUCUCUAGUGGUCACAUGCAAACCAGUGAGUUACAAUCACUUCAUCUGUUCACCUCAUCAAUUUGUGACCCCAUCAGCUCAGAGAAAUCAAAAGCAUUAACCCUGUAACAUAAAAGCUGACUUUGAAUUGUGUGAUAAUAAGAAACAAACUGCCUUUACAGCCCCUGACAAUCAAGCAGAUUCUUAAAUGGGCUGUGUCAGACAUGGGGGGUCUGUGCGGCACCUGUGCACUUCGACAGCACUACACACGCAUGACGGAGAACCUCUGUUUACUUUUGCAACAGGGGGGAUCUGGGAAGGCAUCCUGGAAACGGACAGGUAUUUUAAAAUCCAGAACCAAAACAGGCAAAAGAAGAAUAUUCACCUUACUGAAGACACUGUGAUUUGAGCAAGCGACAUCCUUCCCAUCCUCUAAAACUACUGCAAGGAUUAACCAGCACUUGGAUAUUUAUGUCUGACAGCAGUCCUAAAAAUGAGUUGCGCUGCAUGCAGACUGGAAAACAGACAAAGUGACACAUUCAGCUUACAUAACACCAUAAAAAAAGAAAACUUGCUACAAUUCAAAACUAAAAGAAAAAAAUCAAAAUCAGGACAUAGAUGUCUUCUGGCUACCUCACAAAGAGCCACCUCAGCAUCUUCUGCAGCUUUGAUUGCAUUUUGGUUCAAAACCUUCAGUAUAACUCAGUAAAUAUGAAUAAACAGUAGCAGAUGAACACAUCUGUCCCUGUGUAAACACAGGAGAAAAUCAUCUAUACAACACUUCAUCUAUUACUUCAAUAAUAUCUUCAGAAACACAGUAUGUGAAGAAAUGUUAUAUAAGAAACAAAGUCAAACCAUGACAUUUGGAAACUGAACACACUUCUGUUUGGCCAAAGUAACUGCUCUUUUUCCCAUGCAUGUAAAAUUUGUUCUGCAGUUUGAAAACAUCUCCAUUGAAUUUUAUUCAAUACCAUUCUAGUUGCUGCUUCUUUAUCAUCUGGAUCUCCUUUUAUUUGGUCCAUCAUACCAAAAUAAACUUAUGUAAGCCAGAAUUCUCUGUUUUGAUGCCAUUAGUUUGUUCUUCUUUCCCUCAUUAAAGAAUCUCCAGAUUCAGCUUACUUCUUUUCAUCUUGUAUCUUGAACGUCUUUUCUCUUUCAGUACUCUAACCCAACAUGCUGUUUUUAAUAGGGUUUGGCACUGAGUUGUCUUGUACUAAGAUAACAUAAACCUCCUUUCUUCCACUCCAAAUGGUAGAACAGAAAAGCAGUAAGUAACAAACUUGAUGAU